rnacentral:rRNA from 1 species
UACGUAGGGGACAAGCGUUGUCCGGAUUUACUGGGCGUAAAGAGCGCGCAGGCGGUCGAUCAAGUCGAGUGUGAAAGCCCCCGGCUCAACUGGGGAGGGUCAUUCGAUACUGAUCGACUCGAAGGCAGGAGAGGGUAGUGGAAUUCCCGGUGUAGUGGUGAAAUGCGUAGAUAUCGGGAGGAACACCAGUGGCGAAGGCGACUACCUGGCCUGUUCUUGACGCUGAGGCGCGAAAGCUAGGGGAGCAAACGGG